CCCCUUCUCUGUCACCUCCCCACUUCUUGCCACUCCCUCCUGUUCCCUUUGUGACCCCUGUCGCCUCCAUCCUCCACAGCCCCCUCCGUCCCCCUGUGCCUCCUCUCCCUGCCAUGUGUCCCCUCUGUCCCUCUCUCCCCCACCAUCGCAACCUCUUGGGGAUCCAUGCUCACUUGGGACACCUUGGGGACACCUUGGGGACGCUCUGGGGGUCGAAGGAGCCUUGGGAUGUCCUCGAUGGCUCUUUGGCACCACUCCGCCACACCACGGCAACGGGGGCUGUCAGGAGCACAACCGUAAUAGAAGUCGAUGAUGUCUUGAAGUGUUUCUCCCAGGUGAUCUUUGACCAGGCGGGCGUUGGCCUCCCACAGCCAUUUGGCCACAGCCACCUUGGCAAUCAAGGCAUUGGGGACAUCAGAGGAUGCCUCAUUUGUCCCCUUCAGGGCGGCCUUGGUGUCCCCAACCCUGCGCUGCAGCUCCCAGGGGAACGCGGUGGCUGCGUCACACGCGGCCACCAAGCGCUCCAGCAGCCCCAGGGACACGUCCAGCCACUGUCUCUCCAUGGUGGCCCUUGUUGCCUCACUGGCAGCCACCCUGGCCUCUCUCCUCACCUGGGCUCCAUGCCCGGCCACCACCUCGGCCCCCUCCUCCCCACCCAGGGCCUGACCCAGCUCCAUCAUGUUUUCCUGAGCUGUCCCAUCACGGGCAGCCACAGCCUGCAGCUCCCUGGCCCGGCCAGUGGCCGCCUCAGUGACCGCCUCCCUCCAGGUGUUGUGGAGCUCAGAGGCCUUCCUGGCCAGCUCAGCCCAUCUGUCCACAGGUGCAGCCACCAACCCCUGCCACUUCCUGACUGCCAUUGUCACAUGGUUCUGGGAGAUCCAUGGCGUGCUCUUGUAGGCAGCCAGGGCCUGGCUCAGGGAGGUGACAGGGUCAUCAUCAUCCAUGGUGACAUUGUGGCGCCUCCAGGUGUCAUCAAUACAGUACAGGGUAGUCCGGAGCUCAUUGGUGAAUUCCUCCAGGUCCCAGUACAGGUGCAAUGGGGACAUGAGCAGCAGCAUCUCCUCGUCCCGCCUGUGCAGGGUGUCCAGCAGCUCACCCAGGAUGGCCACUAUGGUGACCUGUGGCUGCAGCAGGGCCAGGGACAGCUGGGGAGGGAACAGGGAAGAUGUCAGGGACCUGGUGGCACUUACGGCCUCCUGUGGUGUCCCUCUGCCCCCGAGGGGUCCCCUCUGUCAC
rnacentral:lncRNA from 1 species